AUCGGGGACUCAACUUUCCUCAAAUACCAAAUCUCUUAACUCCUUUCGUCGGUGAAACCUUCAGAAAUACAUGAUCGCCAACUAAAAAUUCCAAUUCUCGCCGACGUUUGUCCGCAUAACUCUUUUGUCGACUUUGGACUGUCAAUAGACGUUCUCGUGCCAGUCGUACUUUAGCUUCAACCUCUUGUAAUACAUCGGGACCCAAAA
rnacentral:lncRNA from 1 species